ACGGAAGGCAGCAGUGAGGAAUAUUGGUCAAUGGGCGAGAGCCUGAACCAGCCAAGUCGCGUGCAGGAUGACGGCCCUAUGGGUUGUAAACUGCUUUUGUGCGGGAAUAACGUGCUCCACGUGUGGGGCAGUGCAUGUACCGUACGAAUAAGGAUCGGCUAACUCCGUGCCAGCAGCCGCGGUAAUACGGAGGAUCCGAGCGUUAUCCGGAUUUAUUGGGUUUAAAGGGAGCGUAGGCGGAAGGUCAAGUCAGCUGUGAAAUGUAGUCGCUCAACGUAUGCACUGCAGUUGAAACUGGCCUCCUUGAGUGCGUAAGAGGCAGGCGGAAUGUGUUGUGUAGCGGUGAAAUGCUUAGAUAUGACACAGAACACCGAUUGCGAAGGCAGCUUGCUGGGACGCAACUGACGCUGAGGCACGAAAGUGCGGGGAUCGAACAGGAUUAGAUACCCUGGUA
rnacentral:rRNA from 1 species